CCUACGGGCGGCAGCAGUGAGGAAUAUUGGUCAAUGGGCGCGAGCCUGAACCAGCCAAGUAGCGGGAAGGAUGACUGCCCUACGGGGUGUAAACGUCUUUUAUAAAGGAAUAAAGUGAGGCACGUGUGCCGUGUUGUAUGUACGUUAUGAAUAAGGAACGGCUAACUCCGUGCCAGCAGCCGCGGUAAUACGGAGGAUCCGAGCGUUAUCCGGAUUUAUUGGGUUGAAAGGGAGCGUAGAUGGGUUGUUAAGUCAGUUGUGAAAGUUUGCGGCUCAACCGUAAAAUUGCAAUUGAUACUGGCAGUCUUGAGUACCGUUGAGGUCGGCGUCCUUCGUGGUGUAGCG
rnacentral:rRNA from 1 species